rnacentral:rRNA from 1 species
UACAGAGGGUGCGAGCGUUAAUCGGAAUUACUGGGCGUAAAGCGCGCGUAGGCGGCCUGGCAAGUCCGCUGUGAAAACUCGAGGCUUAACCUCGAGACGUCGGUGGAAACUGCCUGGCUAGAGUCCGGAAGAGGAGAGUGGAAUUCCUGGUGUAGCGGUGAAAUGCGCAGAUAUCAGGAAGAACACCCGUGGCUAAGGCGGCUCUCUAGUACGGUACUGACGCUGAGACGCGAAAGCGUGGGGAGCGAACAGG